CCUACGGGGGACAGCAGUGGGGAAUAUUGCACAAUGGGGGAAACCCUGAUGCAGCGACGCCGCGUGAGUGAAGAAGGAUUUCGGUAUGGAAAGCUCUAUCAGCAGGGAAGAGAAGGACGGUACCUGAGUAAGAAGCACCGGAUAACUACGGGCCAGCAGCCGCGGUAAUACGUAGGGGGCAAGCGUUAUACGGAUUUACUGGGUGUAAAGGGAGCGUAGACGGCGAAGAAAGUCUGAAGUGAAAGCCCGCGGCUCCACCGCGGAACUGCUUUUGAAACUUUUUUGCUGGAGUUCCGGAGAGGUACGCGGACUUCCUAUUGUAGCGGUGAAAUGCGUAGAUAUUAGG
rnacentral:rRNA from 1 species